rnacentral:tRNA from 1 species
GCCUCGAUAGCUCAGUAGGUAGAGCACAUGGCUGUUAACCAUGUGGUCGCAGGUUCGAGUCCUGCUCGAGGCG